ACCUGGGUGGCUCAGUUGGUUGAGCCUCCGACUUCAGCUCAGGUCACGGUCUCGCUGUCCGUGGGUUCAAGCCCCGCAUCGGGUU
rnacentral:tRNA from 1 species